GUUCGACCGAAUUUCCAGAGUCAGUUCUUCACUACUUCGAAAGUUUGAACAUCGGCAAAGUUCAACAGAAUUUCCAGAGUCUAUCCUUCACUACUUCCAGACACCAUGGAUUUCUCGGCAGACAGCUUGGUGAUUAUUUCUGAUGAUGAGAUUCCCGAAACAACCACUCAUGACCUUUUGAAUCUGAGUUCCACACAAUUUGAGGGAAACGUGACUAACAGUGAUUAUGACGGAGAUAUUUCAGAUACGAGUGAUGCAAUAGAAGACCAAGAGGAAAUCAUCUCGGAAACCGACAUUCAACAAGACAUCGAACUACAACAGAUCUGCGCAGUGUGGCGUGAAUUCUUCGAAGCAAAGACUGAUUUAUUGGAAAACUUUGGACAGAUUGAUUAUACACUUGAUUCUGGUCG
ensembl:lncRNA